GUUUAUAGUAUCAAUGUCUUUAUUAGUUAACAUGAACUACCCAUAAACCAUGCUUUUACAACACUUAUUAAUCUAUGUCCUUCUGUAUUUCGUUUACAGGUGAAUCCAUGACCCCAAGCAAGUGGAUGUUGUCAGUCGAAAGGGAAGUUGUCAUUGGCCCAUGUUCAGAGGCAUUUGUUGAGGGCCUGGCAGCAUAGUUUGCAACCUAUUACAACUUAAACCUUGCUUAUCAGGAUGAAGCUGCAUGCACCCUCGAAAUUAUUCAGAGAGGAAUUGUGGGCAUUAACCUGGAAACUGGAUCAAAAGUUGCUGGAAAGAGAGACAAGAAAAUUAAAGUAAUGAACCCACAUGUAUGCACACUGCUGCGGAAGCUAAUGGACUUUGAAUGGCUUGCCAUUUAAAAAAAAAAAAAGUUUUCCUAUUGAUUAGUUAAUAUACAUGCAAUGUCUUGCCCCUUCAUGGAUUUGGCAAUUUAAAGUUAGGCACAGUUCAGACCCUUUCUUUUGUUUAUUUAAACUAAGUUUAUGAAUGAAGUUCAGUCCCACUGUAGGGAUGUUUAAAGCCUUUGGUUUAAUGUGCAAUCUCCAUUUUUGUGUCUCCAAAUAUGUUUUGGAAAAUGGUGUACAUGUUAAAUGAACAUUAUUGUACAAUAAAUUGUUAAAUUUA